rnacentral:rRNA from 1 species
UACGGAGGGUGCAAGCGUUAUCCGGAUUCACUGGGUUUAAAGGGUGUGUAGGCGGGUAUUUAAGUCAGUGGUGAAAUCUCCGGGCUCAACCCGGAAACUGCCAUUGAUACUAUUUAUCUUGAAUUCUGUUGAGGUAGGCGGAAUACAUCAUGUAGCGGUGAAAUGCUUAGAUAUGAUGUAGAACACCGAUUGCGAAGGCAGCUUACUAAACAGAUAUUGACGCUGAGGCACGAAAAGCGUGGGGGAUCAAACAGG